rnacentral:rRNA from 1 species
GACGAACGCUGGCGGUGCGCCUAAUACAUGCAAGUCGAACGGUGAACGGGGCUUCGGCCCCCGGAUCAGUGGCGAACGGGUGCGUAACACGUGGGCAACCUGCCCCUCACUCUGGGAUAACCCCGGGAAACCGGAGCUAAUACCGGAUACUCCGGCCGGACCGCAUGGUCCAGCCGGGAAAGGUCCGCCGGUGAGGGAUGGGCCCGCGGCCUAUCAGCUCGUUGGUGGGGUAACGGCCUACCAAGGCUUCGACGGGUAGCUGGUCUGAGAGGACGGCCAGCCACACUGGGACUGAGAUACGGCCCAGACUCCUACGGGAGGCAGCAGUAGGGAAUCUUGCGCAAUGGGCGAAAGCCUGACGCAGCGACACCGCGUGAGGGAUGAAGGCCUUCGGGUUGUAAACCUCUUUCGGCAGGGACGAAGCGACCGUGACGGUACCUGCAGAAGAAGCUCCGGCUAACUACGUGCCAGCCGCCGCGGUAACAC